rnacentral:ncRNA from 1 species
AAGCGCCAGUGCCUGCCUUGGCAGGACGACGAGGCGGAGCGUGAUCGAAAUUUCGGCGGAUGCGCUCCCGCCGUCCCGGCGGUGUGACACAGCUUUAAAUAUGCGGGUAACCGCAAAACAGAGGGGCUG